rnacentral:rRNA from 1 species
AAUACGAAGGGACCUAGCGUAGUUCGGAAUUACUGGGCUUAAAGAGUUCGUAGGUGGUUGAAAAAGUUAGUGGUGAAAUCCCAGAGCUUAACUCUGGAACUGCCAUUAAAACUUUUCAGCUAGAGUAUGAUAGAGGAAAGCAGAAUUUCUAGUGUAGAGGUGAGAUUCGUAGAUAUUAGAAAGAAUACCAAUUGCGAAGGCAGCUUUCUGGAUCAUUACUGACACUGAGGAACGAAAGCAUGGGUAGCGAAGAGGAUUAGAUACCCUCGUAGUCCAUGCCGUAAACGAUGUGUGUUAGACGUUGGAAAUUUAUUUUCAGUGUCGCAGCGAAAGCGAUAAACACACCGCCUGGGGAGUACGACCGCAAGGUUAAAACUCAAAUGAAUUGACGGGGACCCGCACAAGUAGUGGAACAUGUGGUUUAAUUCGAAGAUACGCGCAGAACCUUACCAACACUUGACAUGUUCGUCGCGGCUCUAAGAGAUUAGAGCUUUCGGUUCGGCCGGACGAAACACAGGUGCUGCAUGGCUGUCGUCAGCUCGUGUCGUGAGAUGUUGGGUUAAGUCCCGCAACGAGCGCAACCCUCACUUUUAGUUGCCAUCAUUUAGUUGGGCACUCUGAAAGAACUGCCAGUGAUAAGCUGGAGGAAGGUGGGGAUGACGUCAAGUCCUCAUGGCCCUUACGUGUUGGGCUACACACGUGCUACAAUGGCAUUUACAAUAGGAAGCAAGAUGGCGACGUCAAGCAAAUCCUAAAAAGAUGCCUCAGUUCGGAUUGUACUCUGCAACUCGAGUACAUGAAGCUGGAAUUACUAGUAAUCGCGGAUCAGCGCGCCGCGGUGAAUACGUUCCCGGGUCUUGUACACACCGCCCGUCACACCAUGGGAGUUGGUUCUACCUUAAGGCAAGGUUUAAAACCCUUGACCACGGUAUAGUCAGC